rnacentral:rRNA from 1 species
CCUACGGGAUGCAGCAGUAGGGAAUCUUCCACAAUGGACGAAAGUCUGAUGGAGCAACGCCGCGUGAGUGAAGAAGGGUUUCGGCUCGUAAAACUCUGUUGUUAGAGAAGAACAGGUGUAAGAGUAACUGCUUAUAUUUCGACGGUAUCUAACCAGAAAGUCACGGCUAACUACGUGCCAGCAGCCGCGGUAAUACGUAGGUGGCAAGCGUUGUCCGGAUUCAUUGGGCGUAAAGGGAGCGCAGGUGGUCUUUUAAGUCUGAUGUGAAAGCCUUCGGCUUAACCGAAGAAGUGCAUCGGAAACUGAAUGACUUGAGUGCAGAAGAGGACAGUGGAACUCCAUGUGUAGCGGUGAGAUGCGUAGAUAUAUGGAGGAACACCAGUGGCGAAGGCGACUGUCUGGUCUGUUACUGACACUGAGGCUCGAAAGCAUGGGUAGCAAACAGGAUUAGAUACCCCAGUAGUC